GGAAAGAUACAGGUCGGAGCCGUCGAGGAGCCUCUUGGGGCAGGAACUGAUGGAGCUCUUCAGCAAUGGAGGAGGAGGCGGAGGGAGGGGCCUCACGAGCUCGAACUCCGGCGCGGGGAGGUUCCUCCAGGAGCUGAAGUCGCUGGCCUCGGGGGGGAUGGAGAAGUUGAGCUCCCUCCCCGUGAGCGCCGCCCACUUCUUCCUGUCGGCCUCUGAGAUGGUCGUGAGGAGGGGCUGCCUCACGAUCUCGAUUCCAUGGAGGCACUGCGGAUUGGAGAGCCCUCUGUAGUGCUUCCUCUGCAUCCGGUGGGACCUCACGAAGCCCUUGUCGGCGCUGAAGGGGAAGGGGGGCUCCCCUGGGCGGGAAUGGCCGUUCAUGUAGCUCCGCAGCUGCAUCUUCCCCAAGGCGUUCUCAGGGCGAUCCUUGAAGACCCACAUGUACAUGUUCUCCAUGUCGUGCUGCACCAGCAGGACGUCGUUGCGGAGGUCCGACUUGUCGAAGCCGGAGAUGCCGCCGGCGGCGUCCUGCGAGAUCUUCGCCUUGGACUUCUCCGAGAGGACGGGCUUGAAGUAGAAGGAGAAGAAGAACCAGGCGCCCCAGAUGCUGUCCACGCGCUUGGAGAUCUUGCGGGCGGCGCUGGCCGCCCUGGGGACGCUGAGGAAGGACUCCGUCUCGUAGAUCUGGUGGCCGGCGACGGCGACGGCGCCGCCGCCUGCGCCGGAGUCGAGGAUGUCGCACAGAUCCAGGUUCCACGCCGCGGGCGGCGGCGGGGAGGGCUCGCCGGAAAGGGGGAGGUUGAUGUCCGGGGGCCGCCGCUGCGGGAGCAUCAUUUCCCGGUCGCCGUCGUCGAGGCCGAGAAGGGUGAAGGGCUGGUGGCUGUUCUCCAUGGAGAGCGUGGUGAGGAGGGGCUCUGCCAUCUCUCUCUUCCCUCUCCCCCUUCUUCCUCUACCUCCGCCUGCUCCGCGCUGCUAUCUCCUGCAACUCCCACCGCAGUCGACGGCGACAUCCCAGAGGAUGCACUCACAGGACCAUUCCAUGGAACCAAGAGGCAUCGAGGAGCCCGCCCCACCCCCUCCCACCCCCCCCCACCCUCCCCCGGAGGAGACGAUGGAACGGCUGGAAAUCCCCCGCCUCAGAAGAAACCAGUGCCAAGAUCGACGCAGAAAUUCAUGAGAAAAUGAGAUGAUAAGGACUCGGGGCUGAAUCAAUGUCGGAUGGAAGAAGGAAUCUGACGCCGGUUGACCCCCCCUUUUUUCGACCCAACUCCGCCGCCGACGGGACGGUAAAGCCGAAUCGGCGCGAGCAGAUCCGUCUGAAAUCGCGUCUCUGGAGAGACAGCGAGGAACACGAUAGACCAGAGAGAGAGAGAGAUGUGGACGGGGCAAUAAUGGAGUAACCCUAACCCUAGAAGCCCCGUGGCCUUGCCCCUGCGGUCGCUGCCGUCAUCCUCAUCGCCAUGGAAUCUCCGCCCGUAUUUUAUUCUGGUCAGAGGGAGAAGAAGGCCACAAGGUCGGCGGUGUGAGUGAGGGGGGGGGAGAAAGAAGGUAGAAGACGACCACCAGUUCCCGAUCUUCGCUCCCUCUUCUCUUAUCACGAAGCACAAGUCGCCU
rnacentral:lncRNA from 1 species